AUUGAACGCUGGCGGCAUGCCUUACACAUGCAAGUCGAACGGCAGCACGGGUGCUUGCACCUGGUGGCGAGUGGCGAACGGGUGAGUAAUACAUCGGAACGUACCUUAUCGUGGGGGAUAACGCAGCGAAAGCUGUGCUAAUACCGCAUACGCCCUGAGGGGGAAAGCGGGGGAUCGCAAGACCUCGCGCGAUUACCUCGGCUGAUGCCUGAUUAGCGUGAUGGUGGGGUAAAAGCCCACCAUGGCGACGAUCAGUAGCUGGUCUGAGAGGACGAUCAGCCACACUGGGACUGAGACACGGCCCAGACUCCUACGGGAGGCAGCAGUGGGGAAUUUUGGACAAUGGGGGCAACCCUGAUCCAGCAAUGCCGCGUGAGUGAAGAAGGCCUUCGGGUUGUAAGCUCUUUUGUCAGGGAAGAAACACCGGCUCUAACACAGUCUGGGAAUGACGGUACCUGAAGAAUAAGCACCGGCUAACUACGUGCCAGCAGCCGCGGUAA
rnacentral:rRNA from 1 species